UGAGCAAUCUGCCCUUCUCAUCGGAAUAAGCGUUGGAAAUGACGUCUAAUGCCGAAUACGACCUCCUUUCGCAUGAUCGGAGGUGGAAAGCUCCGGCGGAGAAGGAUGAGCUCGCGGCCUAUCAGCUAGUUGGUGUGGGUAAUGGCCCACCAAGGCGACGACGGGUAGCCGGCCUGAGAGGGUGACCGGCCACACUGGGACUGAGACACGGCCCAGACUCCUAGGAGG
rnacentral:rRNA from 1 species